rnacentral:lncRNA from 1 species
CAAGAGAGGAAGAGAAAAGGUGAAAAAAAUUAUAAGGUAUUUGUGCUUGAGUUUGAGUUACCUUGAAUUUAAAUUUUAUUAUCAUAUGAUAAAAAAUUAAAAUUUUCUCCUUGAACAUAGAUAAGGAGGAUCUAGUUUUUUUUUUUUUGGUAAAAUAAUAUUUUGAGUGUAGUUUCUCUCUCUAGUAAAUCUAGAGAGUUGAGAUUUGCAUGAAACAAUAUAUAAUAAGAAGAUUUCUUGACUAAGUUAACUAAUAAUUUUUUAUAUAAUAAAAAUUAUAUAAUAAAUCUUAUAUUCAUCAUUUUAUUGUUAUUAUUAUUAUUAUUUUAAUUUAAAAAUAAAUGAUAAAGACGAGAUUGUAAUGAAGAUUUUUACUCCCCCAUCACACUUGCCAAUGUCAAAUUGCAACUUUUUUGUGUAUUGACUAAGUCAAGAUUUUGAUGCCUCGAGGUCCAAGAUUGCAUGCAGGCCAUUGACAAUGCGAGGGAGGUGGCGGUGGAAAGAUGGUGCAGGGAAAAGUCCAGGUAUCAUCCACCCUCCAUCAUCUACUAUAGAGCGAGAAGGAGCGCACCAUCAUGACGACCGACGACCUGCGCUCGGUGGGAUGCAGAUAUGGCGCUUUCUUCCUCUCUCUCUCUCCUCUCCUUCCUGGAAGACGCUGUCGACUGAUUAGGCUCGUUCCUUCGAUGGCGGAUGAAUCUGGUCACCGAGCAACGUAAGCCACAGUACCCUGGGAAGGCUCAUAUGGGCUUACUGUUGCUUUACCUGACCUCUUUAUUUCAAGGCUUCUUCUCCACUUGAUCAAUCCCUUUCUUUCUGUUUCCUUCCUCCCAUUUGGUUUGGAGUUGCACAGACAGAGAGAGAGGACGCUAAGUGUGAUGCCCCUGAGAUUUGAGAACAGGAGUAGAGCGAGAAAGGUCAGUGCAACUUGGAGUAGAUCACUAGCUUAGAGAGCUGGCAAAUCGGUGGUGGGCAGCGACCGAGGCGAUGGGAGGCGUCGACACCUCCUCUCCCUCAGCCACCUCCCUCCGUCUACCGAAUUCCCACAUCAGCCUGCACCGCCGUGACCAAGUUGACAACUCCAACAGCAGCGGCAGCAACAACAACAACAACAACCACUCCGACGACGACGCUAACGGCGAGAACUACUCCGCCGGCGCCGUCGACAUGGCAGAAGCCGGAUCCGCCGGCGGCUUCGGGAGGCGCCCACGCGGCCGGCCGCCCGGGUCAAAGAACAAGCCGAAGCCGCCCGUCAUCAUCACGCGCGAGAGCGCCGCCGCGCUGCGCCCCCACGUCUUCGAGGUAUCUAGCGGCGCCGACAUCAUGGACGCCGUCGCGGCCUUCGCCCGCCGGCGCCAGCUGGGGGUCGCCGUCCUCAGCGCCAGCGGCGCGGUCACUAAUGUGACGCUUCGGCAGCGGGGGCCUCAGCCGGGGGGCACCGUGGUGGCCAUCCCCGGCCGGUUCGAGAUCCUCUCCCUCUCGGGGACUUUCCUCCCGACGCCGGCGCUUUCGGACGCCACCGGCCUGACGUUGUUCAUGGUCGGAAGGGAGGGCCAGGUGGUUGGCGGGAGCGUGGUGGGGGAGCUGGUGGCGUCCGGCCCGGUGAUGAUAAUAGCAGCCGCGUUCACCAACGCCACCUACGAGCGGCUGCCCCUUCCCGACGCCGAGCUGGAUGCAGCAGCGGCGCCGUCGACGGCGGAGCACGGCGCAAGAAGCAAUGGCGACGGUGGCGGCAGCUUGUCUGAGGCAGACCCAUCGUCCAUGUCGCUCUUCGGCCUUCCACCCCAUCUUCUGCACGGUGGUCAGCACGAUGUGUUCGGCUCCUGGGCUUCGACGGGUCGUCGUCCUCCACCGUCCUAAUAGCCUUCUGCUUCAGAUGCUAAUUCCGCAGCUCAUUAGGAUCCUGAGGAUUAAACUGAAGCCUCAAAAUUACUACUGUAUCCGUGUGUUUUCAUGAACUUUGAUUAUACAAUUAGCUGCAAAUUCACAGUUUCAGUACAUUUUGAUUCAGCUGUGAAGAAGUCUUAUGGCAAGAAUUAGAUGUGGAGAGGGGGUUUCUGUCAAUCUUUUCUUCCUUAAUACUUUUUCUUUCGGUCGAGUGGGGGGAGUCUCAACUUGGAUAAGGGGAUAAGAUUGUUGUUGGAUUGGAGUACAUGAAAUUUAAUUCAAUCACUGCUGCUCUUGUCUUUUCUCUCCAUGGAAAAAGGAGCCAAUGGAGAAAGUGACAUUCUUUUGGUUUAUAUUAAGUUAGAUGACGGAUAUGAGUCUUUUCUAAGGAAUAUAUAUAUAUAUAUAUAUUUUUUUUAGUUAGUGUUUAUGAUUGAUCAUAGAAGCUGUCAUCAAUUGAUUUUAACCAUAUGAUGCCCCACUAUUUGACAUAAAUAAAUAAACAAAUAUAUUUGAUCUUUUUUUUCCUUCUUGUUUAAUUAGUGUUUAAUAUUUAAAGUUUUAUCCAAUAAAUAAUUAAAAGUCUCGAUAGAGAAAGAAUGGGUCGCAGUGACCGAUCAAACGUGACAAAUGUUCCACAUUAACAAUAAAGAUCGAUCCAUCCUUAAUUGCAAGAGUUGACCUUCAGCGCUCUGAUAUCCAAACAAGCACUAAUGGUCAGAAUUCAUUUUGAACGCUAAAACUCUCUUAGGAUUUUUCUAUUGAAGGAAUCUUAUCCAACACAUUCAUAAUAAUUUUUAAAUUAAAACUAAAUAAAUCAUUCAAUGAAUUUGUGAUGAAGAUCAAAAUAUCAUCGUAUUAUUACGAUGAUCCAAGAGGAUAAAACAAAUUUUAAAUUAUUAUAUCGGAGCUAAUAUGAGCUUAAAAGUUCAUGAAGAAUUUAUCCUACAUAUAUUUUAUUUAUUAUUAAAUUAUAAUAAAAUUUAAAUAUAAAAAUAUAUUUAUAUUGAGUUUUGAGUUUGAACGAGUCAUUAAAACGGAUGCCAUGCAUAUAUCUUAAAUUACAUAUUUUUAUCCUAUCAAUCGGGAGUAUCUAAUAUUAAUGCAGGGAUCAACAUUUUUGCUCCUAAAUCUCUAUCUAUUAUACUUAUAAAAAGAGAUAUAUUAUAAUUUUUUUAUUUUCUAAGACCUAAAUAUAAAUAUAAAAAUAUUAGGGAUUAAAUUAUAAAAGAGAAAAAUAAUAAGGGUUUUUUUGCUCAUCGCCUACUUUUUCCUCCACCUUCGUUGCCUUUCUUACAAGGAAAAUAGAGAAAAUAAAAUGUGAAAAAAAUAGAAAGAAGAGACGGGAGAAAGGAGAGAGAGAGAGAGAGAGAGAGAGAGAGAGAGAGANNNNNNNNNNNNNNNNNNNNNNNNNNNNNNNNNNNNNNNNNNNNNNNNNNNNNNNNNNNNNNNNNNNNNNNNNNNNNNNNNNNNNNNNNNNNNNNNNNNNNNNNNNNNNNNNNNNNNNNNNNNNNNNNNNNNNNNNNNNNNNNNNNNNNNNNNNNNNNNNNNNNNNNNNNNNNNNNNNNNNNNNNNNNNNNNNNNNNNNNNNNNNNNNNNNNNNNNNNNNNNNNNNNNNNNNNNNNNNNNNNNNNNNNNNNNNNNNNNNNNNNNNNNNNNNNNNNNNNNNNNNNNNNNNNNNNNNNNNNNNNNNNNNNNNNNNNNNNNNNNNNNNNNNNNNNNNNNNNNNNNNNNNNNNNNNNNNNNNNNNNNNNNNNNNNNNNNNNNNNNNNNNNNNNNNNNNNNNNNNNNNNNNNNNNNNNNNNNNNNNNNNNNNNNNNNNNNNNNNNNNNNNNNNNNNNNNNNNNNNNNNNNNNNNNNNNNNNNNNNNNNNNNNNNNNNNNNNNNNNNNNNNNNNNNNNGAGAGAGAGAGAGAGAGAGAGAGAGAGGAGAUGAAGAGAAUAUAGGGAGAAAGCUCGGGCUGUGAGAUUACAGGGAAAAAAAAUAAGAAAAAAAAAAAGGGAAGAAGCAAAGGAAGAGAAGAGAGGAGGAAAAUGGAAGAGUAGAGGAGAAAAGAAGGGAAAAGAUCUCGGGGAAGGAGAGAAGAAGAAAGGAAAGAAAAGAAAAAAAAAAAGAAAGAAAAAAGAGGAGAUUGGCUUAUGUCGUGGAAAAGAAAGAAAGAGAAAAACAAGAAGAGAAAAGAAAAAGAAAACGGAAGAAAAUUAAAGAAAGAAAGAGAAAAUUAGGAAAAAAUAAAAGAAAAGUAAGAAAAAUAUAUUAAGGGCUCGUUUUGAUAUCAAAUGGAUUUAGAUCAAGUCUAAGAAAAUUAGAAUAAGUAUGAUUUUGAGAUUUUUAUAUUCUUAUUAAUUAAAUAUGUCUUGGAUUAUAGAUUGAGAAAUCUUUGAUAUGUAUCUUAUUAAUUAUAUAAGAAAAGGAAAGGAAAGGAAAGAUCAGACAUGUAUCUUAUAUCUUGUAUAUUAUAUCGAAGAUUUGUGAUCAUGAUAAAUAUUCGAUGAUUUCGUAUAGUUUAUUUUUAAAAAUAUUAAUGUAUUUGUUUGAUAUUUAUAAAUAAUUUUAUUAUUUAAAAUAUUAUAAAAAUUUAUUUAUAAUUUAAGAAAUAGAUUGGUAUGUUGUUUUUCAUGAUAUGACAAUAAUCUAGUUAGUAUAAUUAUGAUUUAUACCCAAUAAAUGGGGGUUAUAUAUAAUGUCCGAGUCUUAUACACAUUAAAUCAUAAUUAGUAUAUCAAUAAAAAGAUAAAUAAUAUGUAUAUAUUGUCCUCAUUAAUAUGAUUUAUGAUAUCUAUGAUUUAUAAAUAUAAUAAAUAAUAUGCUAAUGUUUCCAAUAUUUAAGAUUUAAGUAUAUGUUUUCCAAAAAUAUCAUUCUUACUAUUAUACCAAGUGUUUGUGCAUAAGUAUUAAUUGAAUAAUAAAAAAAAAAACCAAGAUGUAAAUUUGUGAUACUCCACCGCAUGAAUAAAGUUUUUUGUCAUAUUUUAAUUUUCAUUACUACAAUCGAUAUAAAUACAGUGGAAAGUAGAUAAUCUUAAAACUAAAAUAUAUUAACUUACUAAACAAAAUUGAUAGGUUUCCCCUGUAUAGAAUAUUUUUGACAUGUAUACAUAAUUAUAACAUCUAAUUAAGAGAAAACCAAAACAUAACAUGACUAAAAUUUAUACAUAUAAAAUACCCAUAGCUCAUCGUCUAUAUCUACGUUACCAUGAGUCUAUACAUGGUCACUUUCCUAUCUAAUCACUUAGGUAGGGUGCUGUUGAAUCUCAGAUUUUGAUGAUAAAAUUAAUUAAUGAAUUUAUGAUCUAAUAUAUGUUGGAUGGUUAAUAAUAUCUGAUUGUCAAACAGCGAUUCCGAUGUCCCAGUAGUGUACUGGGUCCUUAGACUUGAGACACCAAGGAUGUCCUAUAUAAGUACUCUAUUAUUUGAUACCAGACUUAUAGGCCUCGAAUUUCCAAAUCUAGUACAAACGAUCAUCGGGAGUGGAAGUCAACCUUACGAGGACUAUUGAGUGUCGAUAAAAGAUCAUCCACUCUCGGUCUCGUGAGAGGAAUAUCACAUGUGUUCUUGCUCAGACAAAUCCCUAGAUAUGCUCAUUUGGAUUGAGAGAGAAAGAGUUCUUUAGAAGAAUCUAAUUAGAGCGAGACUCAUAUAGAAACUGUAUGAGCCUAAUAGUAUCAUGCCCGGUAUACGAUCUCUAGGAUAUUAGAUGGAUGAGGAACUAAAGGUACAUGAUAACUGAGGAUUGACAGGUCCAAUAGAUUGGAUUCCCCUGUAUCGUCUUGAGACUGCGGCAUAGUGGCCUAGUACGUCCACAGUCAAUAAGUCGAGUGAAUUAUUAUGGAGAUAAUAAUUCACUAAGCCAAAAAGAGUUCUGACAAGUAUGACUCAUGACCAGCUCGAUAUUGGGCCUAGAGAGUCAUACAUAUAUGGUAGGCAUUACGAUGAGUACAGGUUCGAAUAUGAGAUAUCCGUCAGAGCCCCUAUCUUAUUGGAUAUCCAUAAGCCCCUGAAUUAUUGGAUCUUACGGAUGAGAUCAAAUAACAGCAAAUAGGAGAUUAUUUGAUAGAGAUCCACUAAUCUAAGAGGCUUGGAUAGUUGGAUUGAGAUCCAAUACCCAAUAGGGUAGGAUCCAUUAUGGUUAAGUUGAUAGUGGAUCUCUAUAAAUAGGAGAGAACUAAAGGUUCAUAGGCUAGAGCCUCUCUUGGUUGCCACCUCCUAUUCUCCUCUCCCCCUCUCCUUAGAUAGUAGGCUUGGAGGUUUGAGGAGCAUUAUUGCAGUCUUAUUGUGUGGAUCACCACUAGAGAAGAGGGCGCUUGACCUCCUUUAUCCACUCCUACAUAUCUGCAGGGAUUCAGGAAUAUACGAUCUCCCUAGAUAAAACACUCUCUCACACGUGUUGAAUCUUUGAUUUUGAUAAUGAAAUCAAUUGUUAGUGUUUAUGAUUUGAUCUGUGUUUUGAGUGACGCAAAAAGCUUCGAUCAAGGAGAGACAAUUAAAGUAGGAAGAAUCAUGUUGGGUGGGAAUUGACCGAGAAGUCCAAGAGUUUGCCAAAAAAGCUCAUCAGAACUCUUUCAAGAAGAUCGUCGUGAAGUCCAGGAGCUUAUCGGGAGUCCAUUGGAACAUUGUCGAGAGAUCAUUAGAAGUUCGUCGGAGGCUCGCCGGAAGAAACCUAGACUUACCAGACUUAUUUAGCUUAGUGUAUGCCUUAAAAUUUGUAGUUAACACAUAAUUGGGUUAUAAUUGGAUCAACUCAAUUAGGGGCCAAUUGGGCCUAAGUUUGGGUUGUGUUGGGCCAAUUGAAAAGGCUCAACAGUGACCCAACAGGUGGAACCAUCAUGACACAGUCCCUAAGACUAUGUCAGACGGUGGUACCGCUCAAACAUAGUCUCUGAGAGAUUGUAAGGCGGUGGUAUCACCAAACUGGGCAGUGGUACCACCCAAUGGCAGGGUGUCAGGCGGUGGUACCGCCCAGUGUUAGUGCUGCAAGCGGUGGUAUCGCUAGGACUCGGGAUGAGACCUUUUUAGGCUCUAAGUUUGAAUCCGCUUGAGGCCUAUAAAUGUCCCUCUCAUCCUUGGUUAACAUAUACAAGAAUUGAGAGCAAAAAAGGAAGAAAACAUUGUUGUAAUCUUAUGUGAACUCCUCUCAAACUCUAAGUAUUAUUCUUGUUUAAGAGAGGAGUGAAGGGGGUUGUAAAGGUUCUCUCCUGAACCUAUAAAAAGGAGAAUCAAGUUAUAAGGGUAGUUGAUAUUCACCCAUUGAAGGAAGAUCAUUAGUGGAUACUGGUGGCCUCAACGGAAGGGGAAUCAGUGGAGUGGAUGUAGGUCACAACGACCAAACCACUAUAAAACUCGGUUUGCAUUUUCAUUCUUAUAAUUUAUCUUAACUGUAAGCUUAUUGCUUUCACUGUGCUUACAAAUGAGAUUUAAAGUUAUCUUUUCGAGAUCGAUUUUUAUCGAACCAAAGAAUUUUUGAACCGACGUGAUUUUUAUCCGCUGCACUAAUUCACCCCCCCUCUUAGUGUCGACUCAAUCCUAAUAGUUGGUAUCAGAGCCACAUCUUUCUCAUUUGGUUUAACACAUAAGAGAAAUGACUAUUUUGGCUUUUAAGAGAGUUUUUCUAUCAUUCGUCCUCCCAUAUUCAAUGGGAUAGACUAUACAAAAAUGAAUUCAAUCAGGUUUCUACUUGCGAAACGACUUUUGAGAUUUGACAUACACUCGAAAUCACACACGAAGGCACAAGUAGGGUAAAAGAUUCUAAAGUUAAUCUUUUAAUGUAUGAUUUUGAAUUAUUUUGAAUGAAGUCAAGCAAAACUAUUAUUGACAUGUACACCCGUUUUAUAGAUGUCAUCAAUGACUUAAAAGCUCUUGGCAAAUAUUUUUUGAAUCUUGAACUUGUUAAUAAAGUUUUACAAUCUCUUUCUAAAAAUUGGGACCUUAAAGUAACAACCAUUCAAGAGGUCAAGGAUUUGAACUAUUUUCUUAUUAAAGAACUUAUUGGGUCAUUGAUGACGUACGAAAUAAGUUGUAUGACACAUAAUGAAUAUGAUAACUACCUUCCAAUGAACAUAAAGGAUUUGACACUUAGAACCUAUGAAGACCACUCGAGCGAAAGCUCAAGUGAUGAUGACUUUAAACUCUUAACAAUAAAGCUUAAAAAGUUUAUGAAACAAGAAUCAAAAAAUAAAAAUAAAUUUAAAAAGAACACAACUACUUGCUAUGAAUGUAAGAAGCUAGGACACUCCAAAGAUGAGUACAUAAAACUGAAGAAGAAGUUAUCAAAUGAUGAAUCGAGUAGGACCCAUGAGGUCGAGACGGAUGAUCGCGAUGCAUAGAGAUGCAUCAAGAUGCUAACGGGACCGAUGAGGACAAGAUGGAUGAUCAUAGGGCAUGGAGAUGCAUCGUUGCACAAAUAGAUCUUGAUGUGAGUGAUUAGGCCCAUUGGCUCGAGCCUGAUCAUAUUAGACUAUGGUCCAUGAUCAUCUGGUGUGAUUGCUCAUGCGAUGUGUGAUUGCUUACACACCUACUAUAUAUGUAUAUAUAUUUACAUACGAUGUAUAUAUAUAUAUUAAAUAUGUAUGUGUGUAACAUGUCAUAUUAGGAGAUCAAAUCAAAAUUUUCUCUCUCGAUAAUAUUAAGUCGGUAAAUAUAAGGUAAUUAGAUUGACCCACGUGGCCUUCCAUUGUUAUAGGUAGAAACCGAUUCUCAAUAUAGGUUGAGUUGGUUGAGUCCCUCGAAGCUCACCUAUAUCACGAUUCGCUAUCUUGCCUAUGACAUAGAGAUGUCACCGGUGACUUGAGGGCAUGGUAUGCUUGGUCGAGUCCCUCGGGGGUAUAUCAUCGAAUCAGACUCAUCUUGUGAUGAUGGUGUUGACUUAACUGAACAUCAUGGUUGGUCGAGUCCCUCAAGACCAUGGUGGUUCGGAGGCCAAAUAGGAUGGGAAUCACAAGGAGUUGUGAUAGACAAGAGUUGUCUACCGUUUGGGCUUAGUGUGAUUAGUUGAGCCUCUCGAGGUUACACUAAGACGCUGAUUGGAUCCCAAUCCCCACUAGAAGUCUGCCGGAGACUUCUGUUUCACGUGUUGAGGGUGUCGCGUGACUCAUCAAAAAAAUAGUGAGAGUAGAUUAAGAUAGAAGUCCAUAUCUUAUUUGUUUAUUUUUCUAUAAAAUUUAUAUGUUAUUUAUUUAUACUACAUCUUUAUUUUCAGAAAAUAUCGUUUUCAAAUCCUUUACAAGGCAUACUUGAUGCCAACUGCCUCAUUGAUCUGAAUUAUAUAGAUUAGCUCUACAACUUAAGAAUUAUUCUCACGAUAGAAAAAAUUACGUACGUCCUUGAUAUAAUGAUGUCUAUACCCGAGGAAUGGGCAAGAGAGGAUGAGAUCACUCGCUAUGUGAAAUACAUAAAUUAACUCCACUCUUGCUCAGUGUUACAUAUUGGGCUCCAUGACUCCUUAGUUACAAAGACAACAUGAAAAAAUGGAUGCCAAAUCCAUUAUCCUACAUGUCUACAAAUUGUUUAAGGAACAGGGAAGGACUCAGCGAUAUAAGAUAUCCAAGAGCAUCUUCCGUGCUACGAUGACUAAGGGGACACCGGUUCAGAACCAUGUCCUAAAAAUGAUUGAGUGGAUAGAGAAACUCACAGGUUUAUGAAUGAUCAUAGAGGAUAAUCUAUGUGUGGAUCUUGUGCUUCGGUCCAUACUAGAUUCCUUUUCACAAUUCAUAAUGAAUUUUAAUAUAAAUAAGCUUAAGGUGACUCUCUUUGAGCUCCUUUGUUGAGGGGAGGUAGAGAGCACUAUCGAAAAAGAGAAGCUAGUUCUUUAUACUAGUGAGACCAAAAAGAAAAGAAAAAUAAAAAGUCUCUUUAGAAGGGCAAAGGCAAUGGCAGACCGGGUAAAGCAAAUGUUGCUAAGAAAGACUCGGUAAAGGACAAAGGCUAGUGCUUCCACUAUGGCAAAGAUAGGCACUGGAAGAGGAACUGUAAAGAGUACCUUGCAGAGAGGGUGAAACAAAAGCUUGAAAAAGCUUCAGAUACAUUCAUGAUCAGUCUCCAUUUAUCAUACUUUUAUGAUAACAUAAGGGUAUUAGAUACCGAUAGUAUUUCUCAUAUUUACAAUUCAUUGCAGGUUCUAGCAAAACAUAGGAGACUAGGGAGAGGCGAGAUGGACCUCAAGAUGGGGAAUGGAGCAAAAGUUGCUGCAGUAGCUAUUGGCGAGGUCACCCUACAUUUGCUUGGUGGAGCUAUUAUUGCAUUGGAUGCAUGCUAUUUUAUUUUUUCUAUUAUCAAAAAUAUUAUUUCCAUUUCAUAUUUGAUAGUUAGUGGAUAUAAAUUAGUUUUUGAGGAUAAUAGUUGUUCAAUACUGUUAGAUGAUGAGAUCAUCACAAGAGGAACAUUCCAAACUGGUUUAUUUAUGCUAGAUACUACUCCACAUAUCAUGAAUAUAAGUGUGUCCAAGAGGAAACGAGUUGAGGUGAACAGUGCAUACCUAUGGCAUUGUAGGCUAGGUCACAUCCAUGAGGGAAGGAUCCAAAAGUUACUAAAGGAUAUAUAUCUAGAUCCAUUAGACUAUGAGUCAUAUGUAACUUGCGAGCCUUGCCUUUGUGGAAACCUAACCAACUCUCCUUUUAGUGUAAUUGGAGAGAGAGCCACUAAGGUACUAGAACUCAUACAUAGUGAUGUAUGUGGACCCAUGUCAACUCUUGUUAUAGGUGGUUACUUCUACUUUAUUACUUUUACUGAUGAUUUCUCAAGGUAUGGACAUAUGUACUUGAUGAAGUACAAGUCUGAGGUCAUUGAGAAAUUCAAAGAGUAUAAGAAUGAAGUGUAAAACCAGACUAGAAAGAGUUUCAAGACUUUUCGAUUAGAUCGAGGAGGUAAGUACUUGAGUAUAGAGUUCACUCAUUUCCUCAAGGAUCACGGGACUCUAUCUCAAUGGACACCUCCUUAUACACCUUAGCUUAAUGGUGUAUCUGAAAGGAUGAAUCGUACAAUGUUAGACAUGGUGUAGUCCAUGAUGAGUUUCGCUGACCUACCCAUCUCAUUUUGGGGAUACGCCCUAGAGACCGCAUCUUACCUUUUGAACAGAGCUCUAACUAAGUCGGUAGUAUCUACACCAUAUGAGAUCUGGAAAAGCAAGAAGCUCGAUCUUAAGGUUGUUAAGAUUUGGGGUUACUCUGCCCACGUUAAAAAACAUAACCCCAAUAAGUUGGAAUUGAGGACGGAGUGGUGAAAGUUUGUGGGAUACCCCAAGGAAACUUACAGGUAUUAUUUCUAUCAUCCCGAGGACCAAAAGAUCUUUGUAGCCAAGAAAGAGAUAUUCUUUGAGAAGGAACACAUUCUUGAUGGAGACAGUGGGAGCAUGAUAGAGUUAAGCGAGGUUGGAGAACCUUGUUAGGAACGAGUCGGCACUAAGAGGGGGGGGGGUGAAUUAGUGCAGCGGUAAAAACGUCGAUUCUAAAAAUGUUUCGUAUAGUAAAAAAUCAAACUUGGAAGAUAACUUAAAAUUAAAUGCUUGUUUGUAAGCAUAGGUGUAGUAAAAGCACAAUAAGGAGGAAAGGCAAUUUGCUAUAAAAGUAAAUUGCAAGAAGGAAAUGCAAACCAGAUUUUUAUAGUGGUUCGGUCGUCGUGACCUACAUCCACUCCGUCGAUUCCUCUUUCGUCGAGGCCACCGACAUCCACUAUCGAUCUUCCUUUAAACAAACGAAGAUCAACUACCCUUUUACACCCCUCUUCUCCUUUUCAUAGGUUUAGGAGAUAACCUUUACAAGCACACACUCCUCUCAAAACAUAAUUCUAAGUUUAAGCUAGAGGAGGGGAUUUCUCAAGUGAUUUCUAUAGCAUUUUCUCACUUUUAAACUCUCUGUGUUCAUGUGUCUUAACCAGGGAUGAGAGGAGUAUUUAUAGGCCUCAAGUUAACUCAAACUUAGAGCCUAAAAAUGUCUCAUCCUAGGUUUCCCGGGUGCUGGUCGUACCACCGCCUGCAACACUGAUACUGGGCGGUAUCACCGCAUGGAAGACUAUGUCUGGGUGGUACCACCACCCAAACAGGUGGUACCACCGCCUGACACAGUCUUAGAGAUUGUGCCACGACGGUGCCACUUGUUGGGUUAUAGUUUGGGCCUUCCACUUGGCCCAACACAGCCCAAACUUAGGUCACUAAAUGGGUCUUUAUCUUGGCCUAAAAUAGCCCCUAUUUUGGGCCCAGUUGGCUUAUAAUUGAGUUGAUCUAAUUAUAUUCUAAACUGACUCAAUUAGACUCUAAAACCUAACUCGAUCUAGGCAAAUUAUUACAAGCACUAAUCGUGUGUUGUCCAGCAUGUCAUUAGUUCUUCCAACGCUUCGUCUGAUCCUUCGGCGCAUCAUCCCCUUUUGCGGCUUUUGCCCAAUCGACAUGCUGACCUUCGCAACUUUGAUUUCCUUGGCGCAAUCUCCGCUCUUCUAGGCCCGAUGCCCGAAUUCUUGGCUCGAAGCCUUCUGCCGACACGUCGACUGUUCCUCCGACCCGACGUUCAAUAUUCUGACAUGUUCACUCUGGUCCAAUGUUCGAUUCCUCCUGUUUUAUCAAUUUACCUCUCAUGAUCGACGUUAGUCCUGCAUCACUCAAACGCAUAUUAGAACAACACUACAAUUGGUUUCAUCAUCAAAAUCCGAGAUUCAACAAUCUUCCCCUUUUUUAUGAUGACAACCAAUUGAUGACGGAGUUAACCUUAACUCCCCUUAUCAAUAUGCCAUCUUUGAGAUGAACCUUGAAUUCAAAUUGAAUUCAAGUUAAAGAAAAUUUAGUCAAGAAUAUUUACAACACGUCAUCAUGCAUAACAUGAUCAUACUUCUCCCCAUUUGUCAUCAACAAAAAGGAGAAGUGUAACUUUCAAGUGUUUGGACAUAUAAGUUCAAAUCAUUGCAUAAUAAACAUAAUCUCCAUUUUUAUCAUCAUGCAAGCUAGCAAAUUUUUUACAUCAUUUUAAAAAUGUAAGCUAGCAAUAUUUGAGAUAUUCAAGAAAGUAACUUUUGCUUCUUGAAAUAUGCAAGUUAGCGAUAUUUGCUUCUCUCUUGAAAUAAGCAAGCUAGCAUGUCUUUACAUCUUCUUAACUUGUGCAAUGUAGCUAUAUCCCCCUUUGUCUUUGUCAAAAAGAAGAGAUGAAUAUAAUUUUGUAUCUCUUUUUUCCUUUACAAUAAUUUUCAAAUCAUGACAAAGAGAAAUAACAAAGACAAAAAAAUCAAGUCAUGAAUGUCAAAAGUCCAUAUAUCAUUUUUGACAAAUUUCUUUUUUUGUAAAUAGAAAGCAUGAUAGGAAAAGAAGAAAAAUCAUGUUUCACCGCAAGUUAUAAUUCUAAGAAUUCACAAGAAAAAUCAUGUUUCAUUUGACAAAAAAGAUUGUCGAUUCAUGCAUUUGAAUAAAUAUUUUUAAAUCAUCACUUCAACUCAUCAUGCAUAAUUUCAAAAUAUAAAAUCAUCAAACAUGAUACAAUCAUUUAUUUUCAAAACAUUCAUCAUUAUUUUUAACUCAUUCAAUUUGUCAAAUCAACAAAGUCCCUUUCGAGAGAUUCAAAAUGAAAUGAAGAGAUUUAUCGAUCUCUUAAAAUGCUAGUGAUUUCCUUUCUCCCCUUUGUCAUUAUAAAUAAGAAAGAAUAAGAAAAGAACAUAAUAGUGUAAAAUAUUUCAAUCAUUUCAAGGCACAUAAGCCAUAAAUACAAAGAAAUCAUGUCAUGAAAGAUAAGACCACUUGAAUACCAAAAGAUAUGAUUAAAUCUCUUCUUUAAAUAAAAAAAUAAGAAUAAAAAUUGUAGGAGUACAAAGAAGAGAUCUUGAUUAAAAAAAUCAAGUAAUAAAUCUAAGAACUCACAAAAAAAAUCAUGAUUCAUAAUAGAACUUUCAGGUUAUAAUCAAUUCAUUAAUACCGAAAGAACAUUCAUGAUUCAUUUGAAUAAUAUUUCUCUUUAGUAAAUGACAAAAAAGAAACAUGGGAGAUAUAAGAUUUUGAUUCAUAAAUCUCAAGAAUAUGUGAAAUAUUUGGAUAAAAUGUCAUUCAAAUUUAACUCAUCAAAAUCAUUUUCAUGGUCCAAGAGAUUCAUAAAGUGAUAUAAAUAGAUUCAUUAAUCUCUUUUUUUUUUAAAUGAUAAAGUAGGGAAAAUUAAUUUUUUCAAGGAGAAACCUUUCCUCUUUUUAGUUGUUUUAAUUCAUGUGAUUUAUUUCAUUUAUGCUAAAUAAAAAUAUACGUCAACGUUUAAAACUGAAAGUGUAAGAUUUAUUAUGUCAAUGAUCAAUAAGGCAUAAAUAAAAAAGAUCAUCAUGCAUCAUUUCUAAAUAUAAACUCAUUAAGUAUGAUAUCAAAUUAUUACUUAAAAUCAAACAUGAUUUCAUUAAUCAUAGAGCAUCUCCAAUCAAAAUCAAGAAACAAUAUGGAAAUCAAUAUGAUACACAUUAUUGCUUCUUAAAUUAAUCUUAUUAGUUGUACAAGCAUUAGAUUUAUAUCUAACAUUUUAUUGCAUUAUUAAAACAUCAAGCAUGAUUUCAUAAGGUAUUUUUAAUCAAAAUCAUUUUAUUUGUUUAUCAUAAAAUAUGUAAUUUUUAUGAUUAUUUUUUAAAUCAUUAGAAAGGUGAUCCCAUUUUAUUUUUUUGCAUUUUCAUUACAUUAUUAAACAUAUAUUUUAAAAAAAAAUUCUAAACUAAAUUAAAAAUAACUCAUGAAAAGCAUUAUGUAAUUUCGAAAUAAAUGAAGGUGAUUUUGAUUACCUCGUCGUUGAAAGUCAUUAAGGCGUAGUUUGCCACCUCACCUUUGUUGAUUUUCUCUUCGUCUUUGGAGGAGCUCAAUUUGUCCCAAGUCACCUUCUUCUUCUUUUUAAGUUCAUUUUUAAUUUUUGAUUCUUGUUUUAAAAAUUUCAUUAGGAGUUCAGAUUUGUCAUCACUUGAGCUUAUGCUUGAGUGGUCUUCAAUUGUUCUAAGUCCGAAAUCCUUCUUGUUCUUUAGAAAGUAGUUCUCAAGUUCUUCUUGUUCAACAUGUGUCAUAAAACUUAUUUCAUAGGUUAUUAAAGACCCAAUUAGUUCUUCGAUUGGAAAAUGGUUCAAAUCUUUUGAUUAUUGUAUUGUCGUUACUUUCGAUUCUCAAUUUUUAGAAAAAGAUCUUAAGAUCUUGAUAACAAGUUCAAAAUCCAAAAAACUUUUACUUAGUGCUUUUAAACCAUUGACGACAUCCAUAAAACAGGUGUACAUGUCAACAACAGUUUCACUUGGCUUCAUUUAAAAAAGUUCAAAAUCGUGCAUUAAAAGAUUGACUUUAGAAUCUUUAACUCUAGUAGUGCCUUCGUGUGUGAUUUCAAGAAUAUGCCAAAUAUCGAAAGCCGUUUCACAAGCAGAAACCCGAUUAAACUCAGUUUUAUCCAAAGUGUAAAAUAGUGCGUUCAUAGCUCUAGCAUUUAAAGAAAAAAGUCUUCUUCUCCAAAUCAUUCCAAUGGUUCAUUGGAAGAGAAGACCUUCGAAAACCGCUUUCGACAAUAUUCCAUAAAUUCAAAUCCAACAAAAGUAAGAAAACUCUCAUUCGAGUUUUCCAAUAUGUGUAGUCCGUCCCAUUGAAUAAGGGAGGACGAAUAAGAGAGUGACCCUCUUGAAAGCCGAAAAGAGUCAUUUCUCUUUUGGUGUUAAACCAAAUGAGAAAAACAAGUCUCUAAUACCAACUGUUAGGAACGAGUCGACACUGAGAGGGGGGGCGGGGGUGUGAAUUAGUGCAAUGGUAAAAACAUCGGUUCUAAAAAUGUUUCAUAAAAUAAAAACCGAACUCGGAAGAUAACUUGAAAUUUAAUGCUUGUUCGUAAGCGUAGGCAUAGUAAAAGCACAGUAAGGAGGAAAGACAGUUUGCUAUAAAAGUAAAUUGCAAGAAGGAAACACAAACUAGAUUUUUAUAGUGGUUCGGUCAUCGUGAUCUACAUCCACUCCGCUGAUUCCUCUUCCGUCGAGGCCACCAGCAUCCACUAUCGAUCUUCCUUUAAACGGGCAAAAAUCAACUACCCUUUUACACCCCUCUUCUCCUUUUCACAGGUUUAGAAGACAACCUUUAUAAGCACACACUCCUCUCUAAACAAAAUUCUAAGUUUAGGCUAGAGAAGGGGAUUUCUUAAGUGAUUUCUAUAGUGUUUUCUCAAUUUUAAACUCUCUGUGCUUGUGUGUCUUAACCAAGGAUGAGAGAGGUAUUUAUAGACCUCAAGUUGAUUCAAACUUGGAGCCUAAAAAUGUCUCAUCCUAGGUUUCUCAGGUGCUAGCGGUACCCAUCGCCUGCAGCACUAACACUGGGCGGUACCACCGCCUGGAAGACUGUGUCUGGGCAGUACCACCGCCUGACACAGUCUCGGAGACUGUGCCACGAUGGUACAACCUGUUGGGUCACUAUUUGGACCUUCUACUUAGCCCAACACAACCCAAACUUAGUGCAGUGGUAAAAACAUCGGUUCUAAAAAUGUUUCGUAAAAUAAAAACCGAACUCGGAAGAUAACUUGAAAUUUAAUGCUUGUUCGUAAGCGUAGGCAUAGUAAAAGCACAGUAAGGAGGAAAGACAGUUUGCUAUAAAAGUAAAUUGCAAGGAAACACAAACUAGAUUUUUAUAGUAGUUCGGUCAUCGUGAUCUACAUCCACUCCGCUGAUUCCUCUUCCGUCGAGGCCACCAGCAUCCACUAUCGAUCUUCCUUUAAAUGGGCAAAAAUCAACUACCCUUUUACACCCCUCUUCUCCUUUUCACAGGUUUAGAAGAUAACCUUUAUAAGCACACACUCCUCUCUAAACAAAAUUCUAAGUUUAGGAUAGAGAAGGGGAUUUCUUAAGUGAUUUCUACAGCGUUUUCUCACUUUUAAACUCUUUGUGCUUGUGUGUCUUAACCAAGGAUGAGAGAGGUAUUUAUAGACCUCAAGUUGAUUCAAACUUGGAGCCUAAAAAUGUCUCAUCCUAGGUUUCUCAGGUGCUAGCGGUACCGUCGCCUGCAGCACUAACACUGGGCGGUACCACCGCCUGGAAGACUGUGUCUAGGCAGUACCACCGCCUGACACAGUCUCGGAGAUUGUGCCACGAUGGUACAACCUGUUGGGUCACUAUUUGGACCUUCCACUUAGCCCAACACAACCCAAACUUAGGUCACUUAAUGGGCCUUUAUCUUGGCCCAAAAUAGCCCCUAUUUUGGGCCUAGUUGGCCCCUGAUUGAGUUGGUCUAAUUACAUUUUAAACUAACUCAAUUAGACUCUAAAACCUAACUCGAUCUAGGCAAAUUAUUACAAGCACUAAUCGUGUGUUGUCCGGCAUGUCAUUGGUUCUUCCAGUUCUUCGUCCGAUCCUUCGGUGUAUCAUCCCCUUUUGCGGCUUUUGCCUAAUCGGCAUGUUGACCUCCACAACUCUGAUUUCCUUUGCAUAAUGUCUGCUCUUCUAGGCCCGAUGCCCGAAUUCUCGACUCGAAACUUUCUGCCGACAUAUCACCGUUCCUCCGACCCGACGUCCAAUAUUCUAACAUAUUCACUCAGGCCCAACGUCUGAUUCCUCCUACUUUAAUCAAUUUGCCUCUCUUGAUCGACAUUAUCCCUGUGUCACUCAAACGUAUAUUAGAACAACACUACAAUUGGUUUCGUCAUCAAGAUUCGAGAUUUAACAAACCUAGCUCAAGCACCACUUCACAGCCCGAGUUUGUUCAGGUACCUAGCACACAAGUUUUGACUUUACAUAGGUCCAAUAGAGUAUCACAUCCUUUUGAGAUAUAUGUGGGACAUAUUAGAGGAGAGGAUGUUGAGGAUAUUAAUCCUCAAACCUACAAGGAGGCUAUUACGAGUAUAGACCCCGGGAAUUGGCAAGAAGCCAUGAAUUCUAAGAUGGAUUCCAUAUACUCUAAUAAGGUUUGGAACCUAAUUGAUACACCUGAGGGUAUUAUACCCAUCAGUUGCAAGUAGAUCUUCAAGAAGAAGAUCGGAAUCGAUGGAAAGGUAGAGAUCUAUAAAGCAAGGUUAGUAGUUAAGGGGCAUCGUCAAAGGCAAAGUGUUGAUUAUGAUGAAACAUUCUCACCCGUAGCCAUGCUAGAAUUCAUCCAAAUUCUAUUGGCUAUUGUAGCAUAAUAUGAUUACGAGAUCCAGCAGAUGGAUGUGAAAACUAUAUUUCUCAAUGGCAAUCUCGAGGAGGAAGUGUAUAUGAUACAGCCUAAGGGAUUCGUGUCCAAGGACUGCCCAGAUAAGAUAUAUAGGUUGCUUAGGUCUAUUUAUGGACUGAAGCAAGCUUCCCGAAGUUGGAACAUAAGAUUUGAUGAGACGAUCAGAUCUUAUGACUUCGUUAAGAAUGAAGAUGAGCCUUGUAUGUACAUGAAGGUAAGUGGGAGCACUAUCACCUUCUUGGUAUUAUAUGUGAAUGACAUCCUGAUUAUUGGGAAUGAUGUAGGAAUAUUAUUCAUAGUAAAGACUUGGUUAUCUAGACACUUCUCUAUGAAGGACUUAGGGGAAGCAUCCUAUAUCUUGGGGAUUUGGAUCUAUAGAGAUAGAUCCAAGAGGAUGCUUGGCUUGUCUCAGUCCAGGUAUAUAGACAUUAUUGUCAAAAGGUUUGACAUGAAAAAUGUCAAGAGAGUUCUCAUACCGAUGAGACAUGGGAUAUCGCUUUUUAAAGAAAUGACAAACAUAGAUAUGAUACCCUAUGCCUCAAUGAUAGGGUCUAUCAUCUAUGUCAUGCUAUGUAUCAGGCUUGAUAUAGCGCAUGCUCUGAGUGUCACGAGCAGGUAUCAAGUGGAUCCAAGCUUGGAGCAUUGGAAAGCAGUAAAUUCUACCCUUAAAUACUUGAGAAGGACUAAUGAUCUUUUUAAUGUAGUAGCCUUAGGGUUGAAGGCUACACAAACUCGAGUUUUUAGUCCGAUAUUGAUGAUAGCAAGUUAAAUUCGGGGUAUGUGUACACCCUGAAUGGAGGAGUAGUAUAUUGGAGAGUUUCAAGCAAGAUACUGCUGCUAACUCGACUACAGAGGCAGAGUACAUUGCUAUAGCAGAGGUAGCAAAGGAGGGAGUCUAGAUGAAGAAGUUUAUCAUACAUCUAGCAGUCGUAUCGAGCAGCGAGAAGUCGAUUCCCUUACAUUAUGACAACAACUGGGCGAUUACUCAAGCGAAGGAACCUAGGUCUCAUCAGAAGUCUAAACAUAUUCUGAGGAGGUUCCACCUGAUUAGAGAGAUCGUGACCCAAGGAGAUAUAGUAGUGGAAAGAAGAGUUCUAUCUAAAGAUAACAUCACAAAUCUACUAACAAAGUCGUUGUCUCAUAUUGUCUUUAAGCGUCAUAGGUGCUUGAUGGGGAUCAAACAUGGAGGUGAUUAGCUUUAGGUUAAGUGGGAGAUUGCUAGUUAUAAGUGUCCUGUAAGCUAAUCACGUGAGUGAUGGAACGUGUGACUUGACAUGCAGUCUUUUUGCUUAUUAUUAUUAUUUAGUAUUUUAUCACUUUAUAUUGCUUGUUGCAUGAAUAUAUUAUGAUGUCCAUGGAUAUUUACAAUGGGAAUCAGAUCAUGAUGAUAUCAUGAUAAUGAGACCGAUUCGCCUUUAAACACAGAUCCUAAAUAAUCCUGGUCAUAGGUUACUCGAGAGAGAUAUUGAGAUAACCGGACAGACUGGUGUGCUGUAUACCCAUCUAUAUGAUGGAUACAGUUGGUCUCAUAGCUACUCGUGUGAGGACACUAGGGAUACAGUGCAUGUGUUCAUUAGAGAAUGAGUUCACUAAUUGAUCCGCUCAUAGAAUGCUAGAUGGUUAAUAAUACCUUAUUGUUAGACAUCGAUUCUGAUGUCCUAGUGGUAUACUUGGUCCUUAGACUUAAGACGCCAAGGAUGUCCUAUAUGAGUACUCUAUUUUUUGAUACCAGACUUAUAAGCCUGGAAGUUCCAAAUCUAGCACAGCUAGUCAUCGGGAGUGGUAGUCAAUCUUACAAGGACUAUUGAGUGUUGAUAGAAGAUCAUCCACUCUCGGUGUCAUGAAAGGAACAUCCCAUGUAUUCUUGCUCAGACAAAUCCUUGGCUAGGAUCAUUCGGAUUGAGAGAGAAAGAGUUCUCCAAGAGAAUCCAAUUAAAACGAGACUCGUAUAGAAACUGUAUGGGCCUAACAGCACCAUACCUGGUAUACAGUGAGAUAUUAGAUGGAUAAGAGAUUAUAGGUACACGAGAAUUGAGGAUAGACAAGUCUAAUAGAUUAUAUUCUCCUAUAUCAUCUGGGGACUACAGCUUAGUGGCCUAGUACAUCUGCAGUUGAUGGGUCGAGUGAAUUAUUAUAGAGAUGAAAAGACAAAACAAUUAAAGCAAAAGAAUCAGACAUUAGGCCAGAGUCAAAGAUCAGACAUUGGGUCGGAAGAAUCGAAUGUUGCGCGAAGAUCGGAUGUUGCGGGAGUCAACAUGCCAAAAGAUUGGGUGAUACGCCGAAGGUUCAAACGAUGCGUCAGAAGUUCACUAGAAAUGACAAGUCUGACAACUUAGAUGUGUUAAGAGCAUUUUACCAUCCUAUGCACCAUCUCUUCCACUGUACCAUUUGCUUAACCAACGUUUCACUGUUCAUGGCCAAGAGCAUUAGGUCUUUUCUAGUUGUGUUAAUAGUUGUUUGCGGGAGGAAUAUUCUGUGCCCUUAAAACUUAAGUAAUGUUUAGGACUAGCACUUGACAUGCUUUUUGUUUUUAGUAUUUUCUCCGCAAAGAAGCCUUCUAACCUGGCUCCCCUUCCCUCCCCCCGCCUUGUUUUUAUUUACAUAGUUAUUUUACACUUACGUGUAUAGAUUUAUUAAAUCAUUACUCAAACUAAUCGAAAAGUUAAACAAGUCAUGAUUAUAAAAAUGACUUAGCAUUCUCAUUAUUAAUAUUUAUUUUUCUCAAGCUCUUUCACUUCCAUUUCUCACUACACCCUUUAUUUUUUUCUCACCACACAUCACUCCAUUAAUCCUACAUCAAUUUGAACAUCUCCAAUAGUUCCACUUAUUAGUUAGACCUCCAUAUUAGGUUUCACCCCAAAUCACCAAAUCAGACUUCUUCGACUUCAAAAACUAAGAUUUGAAAGUAGGAUCAAUCAUCUUACUUCUAAAACUAUAAGAUUUAAAAGUAGGAUCAAUCAUCUUAAGCAUCUUAUAGGUAGCUCAAUUUAAUAGGACAAUAUAGUAUUGAGCAUCAUGAAAGCAGAGGAUGUGUGAUCGACUGCAUCAUCCAGCAUCUAAAGAUUUCUGUCAAUUCCUUGAAUUCAGGAGCAAAACAUGUAUAUGAUUUGUGCUGUUCCAUCAACUCUUGGAGAGAUCAGGUUCUGAAUUCCCUGGACUGCAGCAGUUUACAUGAACUCAUGCAUGGAGAUACAAAAAGAAUCCAACAGCCACUUGAACAGAAUAGCUCAGUAGAGAGAGAGAGAGAGAGAGAGAGAGAGAGAGAGAUUGUCAUUGUCAAGGAGCUAAAAUUACUCAAUCAUCAUCGAUGUAGAUUGUUUCUUGCUUGAAGAGGCCACCAAAGAUGUUCUUCACCUCUGGCGUGGGAUCUGGCUGCUUGGGCUUUGGCUUCUGGGGAGGCUUCUUCACUACUGCCUUCUUGGAUGGCAAAUUCCGAGCCUUAGCUAGGCCUCUAACGGUGGCAAUCUGCGUCCUCGCUUUCUUCUCCUCCGUAUCCUCGGUGUCGUUGUUGUUGAUCUGAGACACCGCUGCUGUUACCUGAGAGCUCAGUUUGUCCCAGGAGAAGUCGUUGCCGAGUCCCUUGGCUUUAAUGAAGAGGCUGUCAAGCGAAGACCCUGCCUCCACCACUCGCCGCUGAGCUUCCUUGUUGAGGCUGGUGGCUCGGGCUUUCUUCUCCGACAGCUUCUUCACCUCUUCUUCCAGCUUUUUCGCUGCCUCUUCAGCAUCGGUAGCUUUCGCUGCAGCUCGCAUUGCCUCCUCUGCUGCCUUUGCCUUCGCCACGGCUUCGGCGUAGGCUUUCCUUCUUCCAUCUUCGGGUAUCGCACUGAGGACAAUGAAGAUUAUUGUUGUGACAUUGUCAUUGUAGCUGUUCUAAUCAAGCAAAGUAAUUGCAAGUUUGCAACUAAUUUAUACUGUUUCUGACAGAAAUAAGAUUAUAAUUCUUGGUUAAUCCACCGAAAGAUGCAUACUAGGAGUUGCCAUGUGUGGCUUGUUUACCCGAAAAGUUCUUGUGUGGGUUUUGAGGUUGCUGAUGGGCUGGUGGAGACUUCAACAACCUGCAAAAACACAAGAAAGCUUAUUCACAACUCCUGCAUGAGAGCAAGCACACCAUUUUAUAGUGUGGUUUCACAAUUCUUUAUGACAGAUGUGCUGUUCUCACAAACCAUGAAAUGGUAAAUACAUAGAUCCCAGAGUUUAGCAGAAUCAAAGUAGAAGAUUAUACAUGACUUGGAUUGUAUCAUUGUGAAUUGGAGUUUGGGAGUAUAUUUCUUUCUAUUGGUAAUCAAUAUCGAAAUCUCACUUAGGUUAUCAGAGCAAUCAGAACAGACAUAAUAAAUGGCAAGAAAUUGGAAACUCUUUAAGCCAACAGAACAAUCAAAACAAGCUCCUGCUUAUGUUUACACACACAAAGAAAAAUAACAAUAAAAUUAUUGUGACAUUAUUAUUUGUAUUAUAUUGGAAGAGAAGGCAUACUCUUGAAGAAUCCAAAUUCGGACUCAUGAAUUAAGAGAGUAAACUUCAUGUACCCAAGUACUUCAACUUAACUAUCAAAUAUCUGGUUUGAAUUCUGAAGUUAAUCAUUCAUAUUGUAAAAGAAUUUAACUUUCAAUUGAGUAAUGUAAGGCUCAUCCGUAAUCCUUAUUUCCUAUCUUAUACUAUUAUAUUUCCCUGCACAAAGACUAUAUUGAUCUAUAAUAUCCAUCUCUACAAGUUGAACUACAAUUAUAUAUAUUGACUCUUUGAAUUUGGAUGUAACUGAUGCGAUCAGGUAUAGUAUCUUGAAACAUAUGUAUAUAUGUAUAGUAUAUAUGUAUCGUCAAAUAUUAUAUUAGUCUAUAAGCUACAACCAAAUUAAGGGUACAAGCUCAAGUCUAAGUCCAGUCUAUUUCUAUCUGAAUUCUUUUUUUAAUAUUUCCAACCAAAACAAAAUUACAUACAGAAGCUAUUCUUCAAAUGUAAAUCAUUAUUUGGAUGCAAAUUACAAUAUCCAAACUCACAUCCAAAUAGCUAUCAAGUACAGAAUGAAGAACCAAUCAAAGGGAUCAAAAUUUGGUAAAGCAGCAGGACAAUCAAGGUUACUGAGUUAAAAAUUGCAUGCCUUACUAAAUCCAAGUUCAAUGCUUUAUCUUCAUGAUUGUGUUCAAAGAGAAAAGGCAGGGCAGGUUGCAUACCUUAUUCUCUGCAAUAGAGGUAUCUGAGAAUACAUCAGCCACCAGUUUGGCAAUCUGCGACUUCGAGACCUGCAAAGUAAGAUUCAGGGUGCAGGUCAUCGCCAUUGAUGUUGUUGAUGAAAGCUAGCCAUCGCCUAUGGUACCUUGAAUUCACUUGCUGUUCCGGCGGUGCUCCCUUCCUCUGAUACCACCAAUCCAUAUGAGCUCUCGUCCGAGUAGUCCUCGGUGAAGGCGGCCUUGAUGAGUGUGUAGCUCACGUUCAACUCUGCCACCUUGGAGAGGAACUCCCCCAGCGUCAGCGGCUGAGACCGAGCAAAGAGGUUGGAGAAGAAGGAGCUGAUUCCGUCGAGCACGUUGUAGGUGGACUGGCCGGAGAACCC